rnacentral:rRNA from 1 species
GAUGAACGCUGGCGGCAUGCCUAAUACAUGCAAGUCGAGCGGACGGACGAGGCUUUCGCCUGUCUGCAGCUACCGACGGACGGGUGAGUACUACGAGGAUAACUUACAUUUGAGGAUAGCAUCACUUAAGGAGCGCGGAUCCAGCACACGUUCAGAUAUUGAACGGGAGGGUUCAUUAGAGAACACGCGAUCAGCUGACACUAAUUCAUGGAACCGCGUCGCAUUAGCUAGUUGGUAAGGUAACGGCUUACCAAGGCUACGAUGCGUAGCCGAUCUGAGAGGGUGAUCAGCCACACUGGAACUGAGACACGGUCCAGACUCCUACGGGAGGCAGCAGUGGGGAAUCUUCCGCAAUGGGCGAAAGCCUGACGCAGCAACGCCGCGUGUGUGAUGAAGGUCUUCGGAUCGUAAAGCUCUUUUAGUUGGGAAGAACAAAUGUGUAAUUAACUAUGCACGUCUUGACGUUACCUAAACAGAAAGCCCCGGCUAACUACGUG